rnacentral:rRNA from 1 species
CCAGUAUUAAUGACUAACUUUUCCUCCUCACUGAAAGUGCUUUACAACCCGAAAGCCUUCUUCACACACGCGGCAUGGCUGGAUCAGGGUUGCCCCCAUUGUCCAAUAUUCCCCA